AACGAACGCUGGCGGCCUUCCUCACCCAUGCAAGUCGAACGCGCCCUUCGGGUCUAGUUUCGCACGUGUUCGUAACGCGUGGGAACCUGCCCUUAGGUUCGGCAUAACUCCCCGAAAGGGGUGCUAAUACCGGAUAAUGUCUUCGGACCCAAGAUUUAUCGCCUUUGGAUGGGCCCGCGUUGGAUUAGCUAGUUGGUAGGGUAAAAGCCUACCAAGGCGACGAUCCAUAGCUGGGCUGAGAGGAUGAUCCGCCCCCCUGGGACUGAGACACGGCCCAGACUCGUACGGGAGGCAGCAGUGGGGAAUAGUGGAAAGUGGGCGAAAGCAUGAUCCAGCAAGGCCGGGUGAGUGAGGAAGGCAGUAGGGUUGUAAAGCUCUUUUAACCGGGAUGAUAAUGACAGUACCGGGAGAAUAAGCUCCGGCUAACUCCGGG
rnacentral:rRNA from 1 species